rnacentral:rRNA from 1 species
GAUGAACGCUGGCGGCGUGCCUAAUACAUGCAAGUCGAGCGAACAGACGAGGAGCUUGCUCCUCUGACGUUAGCGGCGGACGGGUGAGUAACACGUGGAUAACCUACCUAUAAGACUGGGAUAACUUCGGGAAACCGGAGUUAAUACCGGAUAAUAUAUUGAACCGCAUGGUUCAAUAGUGAAAGACGGUUUUGCUGUCACUUAUAGAUGGAUCCGCGCCGCAUUAGCUAGUUGGUAAGGUAACGGCUUACCAAGGCAACGAUGCGUAGCCGACCUGAGAGGGUGAGCGGCCACACGAGAGCUGACGGACGGACCAGAACCCUGAGGCAGGCAGCAGUAGGGAAUCUGGCAGAAUGGGCGAAUGCCUGACGGAGCAACGCAGCGUGAGGGAUGAAGGUCCUCGGAUCGUAGAACUCUGUUAGUAGGGAAGAACAAAUGUGUAAGUAACUAUGCACGUCUUGACGGUACCUAAUCAGAAAGCCACGGCUAACUACGUG